GACGAACGCUGGCGGCGUGCUUAACACAUGCAAGUCGAACGGAAAGGCCCUGCUUUUGUGGGGUGCUCGAGUGGCGAACGGGUGAGUAACACGUGAGUAACCUGCCCUUGACUUUGGGAUAACUUCAGGAAACUGGGGCUAAUACCGGAUAGGAGCUCCUGCUGCAUGGUGGGGGUUGGAAAGUUUCGGCGGUUGUGGAUGGACUCGCGGCUUAUCAGCUUGUUGGUGGGGUAGUGGCUUACCAAGGCUUUGACGGGUAGCCGGCCUGAGAGGGUGACCGGCGACAUGGGGACUGAGAGACGGCCCAGACGCCUACGUGAGGCAGCAGUGGGGAGUAUUGCACAAUGGGCGGAAGCCUGAUGCAGCAACGCCGCGUGCGGGAUGACGGCCUUCGGGUUGUAAACCGCUUUCGCCUGUGACGAAGCGUGAGUGACGGUAAUGGGUAAAGAAGCACCAGCUAACUACGUG
rnacentral:rRNA from 1 species